UACAGAGGGUGCGAGCGUUGUUCGGAAUCACUGGGCGUAAAGCGCGCGCAGGCGGCUCUUUAAGUCCGAGGUCCAAUGCCGGGGCUCAACCCCGUGCCCGCCUUGGAUACUGGAGAGCUGGAGACACGUAGAGGCAAGCGGAAUUCCGGGUGUAGCGGUGGAAUGCGUAGAGAUCCGGAAGAACACCGGAGGCGAAGGCGGCUUGCUGGGCGUGAUCUGACGCUGAGGCGCGAAAGCGUGGGGAGCGAACAGG
rnacentral:misc_RNA from 1 species